GACGAACGCUGGCGGCGUGCUUAACACAUGUAAGUCGAACGCUGAAGCUUGGUGCUUGCACUGGGUGGAUGAGUGGCGAACGGGUGAGUAAUACGUGAGUAACCUGCCCUUGACUCUGGGAUAAGCCUGGGAGACUGGGUCUAAUACUGGAUACGACAUGUCACCGCAUGGUGGUGUGUGGAAAGGGUUUUACUGGUUUUGGAUGGGCUCACGGCCUAUCAGCUUGUUGGUGGGGUAAUGGCUCACCAAGGCGACGACGGGUAGCCGGCCUGAGAGGGUGACCGGCCACACUGGGACUGAGACACGGCCCAGACUCCUACGGGAGGCAGCAGUGGGGAAUAUUGCACAAUGGGCGGAAGCCGGAUGCAGCGACGCCGCGUGAGGGAUGACGGCCUUCGGGUUGUAAACCUCUUUCAGCACGGAAGAAGCGAAAGUGACGGUACGUGCAGAAGAAGCGCCGGCUAACUACGUG
rnacentral:rRNA from 1 species